rnacentral:rRNA from 1 species
GUGCAAAGGUAGCAUAAUCAUUAGGUUUUUAAUUGGAAUCUUGUAUGAAUGAUUGGACAAGAGAAGUACUGUCUUUGUAUUGAAACUUGAAUUUAACUUUUAAGUGAAAAGGCUUAAAUAUACUAAAGGGACGAUAAGACCCUAUAAAACUUUACAUUUAUGUUAAAUUUUAUGGAAUUUGAAAUUAUAAUUAUUAAGUUUAAUUUUUUGUUAUGUUGGGGAGACAAAAGCUAUAAUUAUGUAUAACUGCUUUUAAAAGAAACAAAAAUAAAUGGGGAGAGUUAAAGAUCCUUUAUUGAGAUUGUAAGAUUAAGUUACUUUAGGGAUAACAGCGUUAUUUUUUUUGAGAGUUCAUAUUGAAAAAAAAGAUUGCGACCUCGAUGUUGAAUUAAAAUAUCUUU